rnacentral:rRNA from 1 species
UACGAAGGGGGCUAGCGUUGCUCGGAAUCACUGGGCGUAAAGCGCACGUAGGCGGACUCUUAAGUCAGGGGUGAAAUCCUGGAGCUCAACUCCAGAACUGCCUUUGAUACUGGGAGUCUUGAGUUCGGGAGAGGUGAGUGGAACUGCGAGUGUAGAGGUGAAAUUCGUAGAUAUUCGCAAGAACACCAGUGGCGAAGGCGGCUCACUGGCCCGGUACUGACGCUGAGGCACGAAAGCGUGGGGAGCAAACAGG